GAUGAACGCUGACAGAAUGCUUAACACAUGCAAGUCGAUUCGAUUUACCUUCGGGUAUUGAGGAUGGCGGACGGGUGAGUAACGCGUAAGGAACUUGCCUCUUGGUCUGGGACAACUGUUGGAAACGACAGCUAAUACCGGAUAUUAUGAGAUUCUCGCAUGGGAAACUUAUGAAAGCUAUAUGCGCCAAGAGAGAGCCUUGCGUUCCAUUAGCUAGUUGGUGGGGUAACGGCCCACCAAGGCGACGAUGGAUAGCCGGCCUGAGAGGGUGAACGGCCACAAGGGGACUGAGACACGGCCCUUACUCCUACGGGAGGCAGCAGUGGGGAAUAUUGGACAAUGGACCAAAAGUCUGAUCCAGCAAUUCUGUGUGCACGAUGAAGGUCUUCGGAUUGUAAAGUGCUUUCAGUUGGGAAGAAGCAAGUGACGGUACCAACAGAAGAAGCGACGGCUAAAUACGUGCCAGCAGCCGCGGUAAUACGUAUGUCGCAAGCGUUAUCCGGAUUUAUUGGGCGUAAAGCGCGUCUAGGCGGAAAAAUAAGUCUGAUGUUAAAAUGCGGGGCUCAACUCCGUAUUGCGUUGGAAACUGUUUUUCUAGAGUACUGGAGAGGUGGGCGGAACUACAAGUGUAGAGGUGAAAUUCGUAGAUAUUUGUAGGAAUGCCGAUGGAGAAGUCAGCUCACUGGACAGAUACUGACGCUGAAGCGCGAAAGCNUGGGGAGCAAACAGGAUUAGAUACCCUGGUAGUCCACGCCGU
rnacentral:rRNA from 1 species